UCCUCCCAAACCUCCACCCCCUAAACAAGUACCCACCCACCCUCACGCAAAACUAACCCCCCUCCCGCCCACAAUCUAUAUUGUCCCCCCAUCAUUUGGUCCUGGAGAAAUUAGCUUAUCAUCUGCUUAAAUGCAAUUUCGCCAUUGUUUUAAAUGACGUAAUUGACUCAGCCGCCUUGACAUCUUGCGGCAGACUAUUCCAUAGAAUUGCUCCACUGUAUCCAAAUGUUUUCUUUAGAAAUUCCGUU